rnacentral:rRNA from 1 species
AUUGAACGCUGGCGGCAUGCUUUACACAUGCAAGUCGAACGGCAGCGCGGGCUUCGGCCUGGCGGCGAGUGGCGAACGGGUGAGUAAUGCAUCGGAACGUGCCCAGCAGUGGGGGAUAGCCCGGCGAAAGCCGGAUUAAUACCGCAUACGACCUGAGGGUGAAAGCGGGGGACCGAAAGGCCUCGCGCUAUUGGAGCGGCCGAUGUCGGAUUAGCUAGUUGGUGGGGUAAAGGCUUACCAAGGCGACGAUCCGUAGCUGGUCUGAGAGGACGACCAGCCACACUGGGACUGAGACACGGCCCAGACUCCUACGGGAGGCAGCAGUGGGGAAUUUUGGACAAUGGGGGCAACCCUGAUCCAGCCAUGCCGCGUGCGGGAAGAAGGCCUUCGGGUUGUAAACCGCUUUUGCUCGGGAAGAAAUCCUCUGGGCUAAUACCCCGGGGGGAUGACGGUACCGGAAGAAUAAGCACCGGCUAACUACGUG